rnacentral:rRNA from 1 species
UACGUAGGGUGCAAGCGUUAUCCGGAAUUAUUGGGCGUAAAGAGCUCGUAGGCGGUUUGUCGCGUCUGCUGUGAAAACCCGAGGCUCAACCUCGGGCCUGCAGUGGGUACGGGCAGACUAGAGUGCGGUAGGGGAGAUUGGAAUUCCUGGUGUAGCGGUGGAAUGCGCAGAUAUCAGGAGGAACACCGAUGGCGAAGGCGGCAUCCUGGACCGGCAUUGACGCUGAGGCGCGAAAGCCAGGGGAGCAAACGGG